UAAAAUAAUAUUAACACAACAAUCAGUGCGAGAAAACUACUAAUUAGAAUGCAUGCACCCUCAUUAAAAUCUUUUAUCUCGUUUCUUAGUUUUCGCAUAUUUCGAUUAUUCGGCGGCCGCCCAAGGCGUUGCUUGAGACGCCGGUCGGCCGCUUACGCCCAUAAUUCCUCCGUUGGCUCCUCGUAUUUCCCUCCAUGAUAUCGAAUUAAAAUCCCAAAAAUUAUAAAAGUGCACAAUUAAAUUAACAUAACCAUUUCCCCUCGAAAAUAUAUUUAUUUCGGACUUAGGAUAAAAUUAUUCAUCCUCCGAAAUAUUUCAGGAUUAAUUAAAUAUUCCUCACCAUUAAAUUUAUUCAUCGGCCCAAGGAUUUAAAUUAAUCUGGCCCAAGUAAACUUUAUUCCCAGCCCAACUAAUAAUUCAGUAGUUUGCCCAACCUUUUUCCUCCUAUUUAAUUUAGGGUCCAAAACCAAAAUUAAAUGGAACCCAAACUAACAAAUCAUCACUUUAAUAUAAUAUGCCCAAUUCAAAAAAAAAAAAUAAGUGAGCCCAAAUUAUACUCCACCCUCUCCCACGUCUCUCCCUCUCUACAUCUUCGACCAAAAUCAAACAAUAAUUUCUCCCAAUUUCCGUCGGCUUCUCCAACACUCCACACCAGAGCCGUCGGUCGUCUCCCCUCCGACGCUCGCUGCACUCCGGCGACGUAGGCAUCAUCCGAUUUCCUUCCGUCGCUCUCCGUCGCACGCCGCUGUACCCGACGCCGCUGCGGUGCAGUUUUCUCCACCAUCGCGUCGACCCUCACGCCGGGAAGACUCUGUUGUCGCCGCUGUCACCGCCGGGCUCCAGCCGCAUCAGUCGCUCCAACGCCGCUGUUGAUUUUGCCGUCAAUUCGUCCUCAGCGUUCAUCCCCGAGCUCCGCCUUCCGUGGUGAACCGCGGCCGUCGUCGCCGUCGGAGUGGAGGAACUCUGCCGCCACAUCGCUUCAGCCUUCUCCAGCGACGAGGACGAGCUUCUCCGCCGCCGAUCCCCCUGGGUUUGAGAAUCCGCCGCUGCUGUCGUCCAAUCCAGCCAUCGUUCAUCACCGAACCAACCCCGAAACGUCCCGAAAAGCCCCGCACAACCCCGAAACAGCCCCCCCGUAUAAUCGGUUCAAGUUCGUGGUCGUCCACGUUGAAGUACCCGCUUUCUUAAAACGUAGGAUGUAUUAAAUUUUGUUGGAUGUAUCGGACAUCAAGAUUUUGGUUUUGGGAUCUUAUUUAUUUAUUUAUUUAAAUUUAUUGUAUUCA